UUGUACUUGUACAGCUGAACAGCCCUUGGCUCUCUCUCACCACAGAAGCAGUCACAGCGAGUUACCAGGCGUGCCUGACAGCAGAGCCCGCACAAUGGGGCAGUUGAUGCAAACAGACGUGUUUUGAAGACUGAGAGGGCUGGAGUAUUUUCCUGAGACGGAGGCCAGACGCUGGAGCGGAAUUAACCAAUUUCCAGGGCUUCCGAUGGCUGGGCGUGCCGCGUGUACGUUCUGCACGCCAUACCACAGCCCAGACUUGAAUCAGCAGAAUAUCAGCUGCUAGAAGUUGCCAUUUUGGCAGCCCUGGAAAAUGGAGCUCAUUCAGGGAGCCAGUACAUCUGCCUGAGCCCACGCCAAACUGGAAGAGACUAUUUCCAGAGCUGAAGAGGUACUACAGUAGAGUCUGGAGGCCCCAGAUGAGACCACAGACCUAUUGUGCCAGGCACAAAUGCAUCACGAGUGACAUGAGAGAAGAAGCAGAGGUAUGGAGAACAGAGCCUGCUUGUGACUUGCCUAAGCAGGCAAGCGGCAGAGCCAGAAUUAAAACCUAGGGGUACUUUUAUAUGUGCUCCAAGGGUGGAGGGAGGGGUUUUGCUUUAAUCAGAGUGGCUCUGAGAGCGCCACAGCCACCAUUUUGAGCUGCUGUAAUUAAAGCACCUCUGUCUUGUGUAUCAGUGUCCCCACACUUCAAAAUGGUGACGGGGGCUUGAACUACAGCCCUAGGAGUCCUGACCCAUCCAGAGCACUGACCACAAGACCUCACUGCUUCCCAACUAACGAAGAAUUUAUAAAAAAUAA